GAUUGCCCUAGUAACGGCGAGUGAAGCGGCAACAGCUCAAAUUUGAAAUCUGGCUCCUUCGGGGCCCGAGUUGUAAUUUGCAGAGGAUGCUUCGGGUGCGGGUACCUACUGAGUUCCCUGGAACGGGACGCCAUAGAGGGUGAGAGCCCCGUCUGGUAGGACACCCAGCCCAUGUGAAGCUCCCUCGACGAGUCGAGUAGUUUGGGAAUGCUGCUCUAACGGGAGGUAUACUCCUUCCAAGGCUAAAUACCGGCUGGAGACCGAUAGCGCACAAGUAGAGUGAUCGAAAGAUGAAAAGCACUUUGAAAAGAGAGUCAAAUAGCACGUGAAAUUGUUGAAAGGGAAGCGCUCGCUACCAGACUUGGGUUCGGCGGUUCAACCGGGGCCACGCCCCGGGGCACUCCGCCGUCCCAGGCCAGCAUCAGCUUUCCGUCGGGGGCAAAGACGUCGGGAAUGUGGCUCCCCUCCGGGGGAGUGUUAUAGCCCGGCGUGUCAUACCCUUCGGGGGGCUGAGGUACGCGCUUCUGCAAGGAUGCUGGCGUAAUGGUAGCU
rnacentral:rRNA from 1 species